CUUGCUUUUCCUCCGUGAGAGAGAGAGAGAGAGAGAGAGAGAGUCGCAUCUAAUCCUCUGAUACAGACACACCGCUCUGCUUUAUUUAAAGGUCACCACAGGCAGUUAGUUACAAUUAUCCAACAGGUUAUACAACCGAGGAACCCCUCAUAAUAUUGUUGAGAUUAUGGAGAGCAUUCCAGCUUCUUCAUCCGGAGGCGACAGAAAAGCCAUAGAGAGGAACAGAAGAAGCCAAAUGAGAACUCUUUGCUCCCAACUCAGCUCUCUCGUCCCUCGUCAAUCCCCUGGGGAGGUGAUUUCGGUGUCGGAUCAGCUGGGUGAAGCCGUGACCUACAUAAAGAAGCUUCAGAUGAAGUUGGAGAAGAUGAAGGAGAAGAAGCUCAGCCUCAUGGGAAUCAGUGACGAGGAGACGAAUGUUGAUGAGAGACAGAAGAAAAAGAGAGGAAUUGUUAUGGGGUCGAAAUCACCCCAAGUUGAGAUUCACCAAAUGGGUUCCACAUUAGAGGUUUCUGUGAUUUCUGGGUUGGAUUGCCAGUUCAUUUUCAACGAGUUCAUUCGCAUUCUUCACGAAGAAGAAGCCGAUGUUGUUAACGCCAGUUAUUCAGUCGUUCAAGAUACUGUUUUUCAUGCCAUCCACUGUCAGAAAUAAGCAACACAUAUACUAUAGUUCGGCGGCUAGUUAAGAUUUGUUGUAGUUAAAGAUACCGCAAGGGAACAAACUAUCGGAGAAUGUGAUGACAGCAGAUCAGGGAGGAUAUCGGAGAGAUUAAAGAGGUUUGUGUAUGGUUCUGGUUCUGGUGCGUUUUGAAGAGAAUGAAUGCCAACGGCUGCUUUCUGUGGAACUUUAAUAUGAUCUCAGAAAAUGUCGACUUUCUGUGCUUCAUUUUCAUAGACAAAAUUUCCAUGACACCAACUGAUCUGCACACUCAUGAGCGUGAGCGAUUUACUCUGUAGCUUCAUAAGAGUUGAGCAUUGUAAUUGUAAUAGAAAUUAAAGGC